rnacentral:rRNA from 1 species
UACGAAGGGGGCUAGCGUUGCUCGGAAUCACUGGGCGUAAAGCGCACGUAGGCGGCUUUUCAAGUCAGGGGUGAAAUCCUGGAGCUCAACUCCAGAACUGCCUUUGAUACUGAAGAGCUCGAGUCCGGGAGAGGUGAGUGGAACUGCGAGUGUAGAGGUGAAAUUCGUAGAUAUUCGCAAGAACACCAGUGGCGAAGGCGGCUCACUGGCCCGGUACUGACGCUGAGGCGCGAAAGCCAGGGGAGCAAACGGG